rnacentral:snoRNA from 15 species
CCGUUCUUGUGUUAUUCGCUAGACUUACCUUCUAGUCCAGCGAUUGUCAAACAGAACGUACACUAAUCCCAGGCAACUACUCACUCCACAAUGAUUAGCCGACAAUAGACAAGGCUUCAUCAUUACUAAAUGUUUGCCACAUUU